AAUGAACGCUGGCGGCAGGCCUAAAACAUGCAAGUCGAACGCCUGUAGCAAUACAGGAGUGGCGCACGGGUGCGUAACACGUGGGAAUAUGCCUAUUGGUACGGAACAGCUCCGGGAAACUGGAAUUAAUACCGUAUGGUCCCUUCGGGGCAAAGAUUUAUCGCCAAUGGAUUAGCCCGCGGUGGAUUAGCUAGUUGGUAGGGUAAUGGCCUACCAAGGCGACGAUCCAUAGCUGGUCUGGGAGGACGAUCAGCCACACUGGGACUGAGACACGGCCCAGACUCCUACGGGAGGCAGCAGUUAGGAAUAUUGGACAAUGGGCGCAAGCCUGAUCCAGCCAUGCCGCGUGAGUGAUGAAGGCCUUCGGGUUGUAAAACUCUUUAGCCGAUGAAUAUAAUGACUGUAGUCGGAAAAUAAGCCCCGGCUAACUUCGUGCCAGCCGCCGCGGUAA
rnacentral:rRNA from 1 species